GGCACGCCGGACGCAGGUAUCGACUGGGGCUUCUUCCUCGACAUCGUGGCGCCCUACGCCAAGCGGGCAGAGAGCAUUGAGACGGCGGUGAAACGGUCUCGACAGCAGGCGAAGAAGGAGGAGAAGGCCA
rnacentral:sRNA from 1 species